rnacentral:misc_RNA from 1 species
GAUGAAGAACGCAGCGUAAUGCGAUAAGUAAUGUGAAUUGCAGAAUUUAGUGAAUCAUCGAAUCUUUGAACGCAUAUUGCGCCCGCCAGCACUCUGGCGGGCAUGCCUGUUCGAGCGUCAUUUCAACCCUCAGGCCUCGCGUCUGGCGUUGGGGCGCUGCGGCCCUCCCGCAGGCCCCCAAAUUUAGCGGCGGAUUCCCCGCGGCCCUGAGCGCAGUAGAGAGUAAAAACUUUAACGCUCCGGCGGCCGUGGCGCGGUUCUGCCUCUUUCCCAAUAGCGCCAAUAGCGCCACCCCCAAAAAAGUUGACCUCGGAUCAGGUAGGACUACCCGCUGAACUUAAGCAUAUCAAUAAGCGGAGGA